AUUAGAAGGAACCUUGAGUUUUUGAUCUUUUGAAGAUCCAAGAAAGAUUAUCUGGUCCAGCUGUUAAUGAGAAGACUGAAGCCCAGAGAGAAGUGAGUACCCACAUCUCAGAACCAGCCCAGUGCGCUCACCUUGCUGUUUGCCGUCUCCUUGCUGUAGCUGGCUAUACGUUUAAAGUCAAGUGGUUCUAAACAGCAAUCCAGAUGUUCCAUAAAAACUGUCAAAGCAGUGAGCAUAUCAUGCUGAAUCUGGCAGCACAGAGUUAGGAGAGCCGGUCUUCCUCCUGUGCCUCCGAGAUCCAGAACACAUGGUUAUCCUUGUCUGGGAUAACCUGGGAUCCUUGUCUGACCUCCCCUUCUA
rnacentral:lncRNA from 1 species